rnacentral:rRNA from 1 species
GGGUCAGUAGGUUGGUCGUGCCACCGGUACGUACUGGUCUCACUGAUUCCUCCUUCCUGAAGAACCGUAAUGCCAUUAAUUUGGUGUUGCGGGGAGACAGGACUGUUACUUUGAAAAAAUUAGAGUGUUUAAAGCAAGCUAACGCUUGAAUACAUUAGCAUGGAAUAGUGAAAUAGGACGAUCGAUCCUAUUUUGUUGGUUUCUAGGAUUGACGUA